GAUGAACGCUGGCGGCGUGCCUAAUACAUGCAAGUCGAGCGAACAGACGAGUAGCUUGCUCCUCUGACGUUAGCGGCGGACGGGUGAGUAACACGUGGAUAACCUACCUAUAAGACUGGGAUAACUUCGGGAAACCGGAGCUAAUACCGUAUAAUAUAUUUAACCGCAUGGUGCAAUAGUGAAAGACGGUUUUGCUGUCACUUAUCGAUGGAUCCGCGCCGCAUUAGCUAGUUGGUGAGGUAACGGCUUACCAAGGCAACGAUGCGUAGCCGACCUGAGAGGGUGAUCGGCCACACUGGAACUGAGACACGGUCCAGACUCCUACGGGAGGCAGCAGUAGGGAAUCUUCCGCAAUGGGCGAAAGCCUGACGGAGCAACGCCGCGUGAGUGAUGAAGGUCUUCGGAUCGUAAAACUCUGUUAUUAGGGAAGAACAAAUGUGUAAGUAACUAUGCACGUCUUGACGGUACCUAAUCAGAAAGCCACGGCUAACUACGUG
rnacentral:rRNA from 1 species